UAGGGAAUCUUCCACAAUGGGCGCAAGCCUGAUGGAGCAACACCGCGUGAGUGAAGAAGGGUUUCGGCUCGUAAAGCUCUGUUGUUAGAGAAGAAAGUGCGUGAGAGUAACUGUUCACGUUUCGACGGUAUCUAACCAGAAAGCCUCGGCUAACUACGUGCCAGCAGCCGCGGUAAUCCGUAGGUGGCAAGCGUUAUCCGGAUUUAUUGGGCGUAAAGGGAACGCAGGCGGUCUUUUAAGUCUGAUGUGAAAGCCUUCGGCUUAACCGGAGUAGUGCAUUGGAAACUGGGAGACUUGAGUGCAGAAGAGGAGAGUGGAACUCCAUGUGUAGCGGUGAAAUGCGUAGAUAUAUGGAAGAACACCAGUGGCGAAGGCGGCUGUCUGGUCUGCAACUGACGCUGAGGCUCGAAAGCAUGGGUAGCGAACAGG
rnacentral:rRNA from 1 species